CUAUUUUAGGAUAGAGCGUAUAUGCAGAUCUUACCUCCAUUGCACUUUGUAGGGGUGCCUGCCUAAGGUUGGCUCAAAUAGUUGAGCCUUCGUCAUAAUUUGUUGCAGCGGGGCCUGUGUUCGCGCGCCCCUAC
rnacentral:snRNA from 1 species